rnacentral:lncRNA from 13 species
UUAUUCCACAUGAAAAUACUCCUCAAAGCCUGUCUUUACCAUACAGAUAAAAUAAAUAAGUAAAUAAAUAAGCUGAAGGUGGUGGUGUGAGCUUGUAGUCCUAGCUAGUUGGAAGGCCAAGGCGGGAGGAUCGCUUGAGCCCAGAAGUUUCAGGCUCCAGUGAGCUAUGAUUGUACCAUUGCACUUCAGCCUGGGUGACAGGAAGAUUCUGUCUCAACAAAAUAAAACAACAAAACAAAAACAAAAAAACUUCAAAAAUAAAGAGUCGAAAGCCCAAGGAGGAGGGAGGGGUCUCUUUCCAAAGACUUCAUGGUAACUUGAAUGUUGGUGUCUCUCUUACAGAGGCUAAGGAUUCUUGUCUAUCUCUUUAUGGUGGCACCAACGAUGCUUGCUUUUUGAUGCUUCAUUAUCCUAAGAGAAGGAGAGGCGAAGAAAUGGCAAGUGAUUGCAACUAUGGAGGCUGCAAGUGAGUGGCAGUGGAGAGCCAGGGAGGACCUGCAUAGGGACUUGCUCUGAUGCUCAGGCUGGAGUGUGGUGGCAUGAUCAUGGCUCACUGCAACCUUAACCUCCCAGGCUCAAGUGAUCUUCCUGCCUUAACUUCCCGAGUAGCUGGUACCACAGGUGGGUUUCGAGCUGCCAUCUUGAACUGUGAGGUGGGAAAUGCGUGCUGAGGAGGGUGGAGCUUGGGUGGCCAAACCCAUGCA